GAUGAAGAACGCAGCGAAAUGCGAUACGUAAUGUGAAUUGCAGAAUUCAGUGAAUCAUCGAAUCUUUGAACGCAUAUUGCGCUCUCUGGUAUUCCGGAGAGCAUGCUUGUUUGAGUAUCAGUAAACACCUCAACUUCCAUAUCUUUUUUGAAAUGGGAGUUGGACUUGAGUGAUCCCAACGCUUUUCCUCACCGAAAAGUGGCGGGUUACUUGAAAUGCAGGUGCAGCUGGACUUUUCUCUGAGCUAUAAGCAUAUCUAUUUAGUCUGCCUAAAAAACAGAUUAUUACCUUUGCUGCAGCUAACAUAAAGGAGAUUAGUUCUUGUGCUGACUGAUGCAGGAUUCACAAAGACAGGCUUCGGCCGACUUUGUACACUCGAUCUCAAAUCAAGUAAGACUACCCGCUGAACUUAAGCAUCUCAAUAAGCGGAGGA
rnacentral:misc_RNA from 1 species